UACGUAGGGGGCAAGCGUUGUCCGGAAUUAUUGGGCGUAAAGAGCGUGUAGGCGGUCCGGUAAGUCAGCUGUGAAAGUCAAGGGCUCAACCCUUGAAAGCCGGUUGAUACUGUCGGGCUAGAGUCCGGAAGAGGCGAGUGGAAUUCCCGGUGUAGCGGUGAAAUGCGCAGAUAUCGGGAGGAACACCAAUGGCGAAGGCAGCUCGCUGGGACGGUACUGACGCUGAGACGCGAAAGCGUGGGGAGCAAACAGGAUUAGAAACCCUGGUAGU
rnacentral:rRNA from 1 species